rnacentral:lncRNA from 1 species
GUGUGACAUAGACGCAAAACCAUGCCACAAGCAUGGACAAGCAGCCUGACCACUUCCCACAAAGCUCAGAUACCGCUGCGCCCAGCAGAUUAAUGAAGCAACAUUAGCAGGUGCCCGGGAUGCUCAGCCGUCUCCCUCCACCCUAGUCCCAAGGUCCUCAUUCUCAAGUUCAAACUUUGCAUCUCAUCACAGGCUGCCUUCUGACGCGUGUGUUUACUUUCUUCGACUCAACAAUGUGUCUGUGUGUUUGCGCAGGACCGGAGUUUAUUUGCGCUCACUUUGCAGUGUUUCAUCUCAUAAAUGGGCCUCCUCUGAGGGCCCUUCUGUUAAGGGUGGACUCCCACGUGGCUUUCGGCAGAGGUUGCUACAGGACCCAUGUACGCGGGGACAGCCCCGGGUAGAAACAGAUUCCUUAUUGUCGGUGCAGCAAGUGGGGGCGAUUCUGUUAUAAAAGCUAUGCUGUCGUGUG